UACGGAAGGCAGCAGUGGGGAAUAUUGCACAAUGGGCGAAAGCCUGAUGCAGCUAUGCCGCGUGUAUGAAGAAGGCCUUAGGGUUGUAAAGUACUUUCAUCGGGGAGGAAAAAACAAAACUAAUAAUUUUAUUUCUUGACGUUACCCGAAAAAGAAGCACCGGCUAACUCCGUGCCAGCAGCCGCGGUAAUACGGAGGGUGCUAGCGUUAAUCAGAAUUACUGGGCGUAAAGAGCACGUAGGUGGUUUUUUAAGUCAGAUGUGAAAUCCCUGGGCUUAACCUAGGAACUGCAUUUGAAACUGAAAUACUAGAGUAUCGUAGAGGGAGGUAGAAUUCUAGGUGUAGCGGUGAAAUGCGUAGAUAUCUGGAGGAAUACCUGUGGCGAAAGCGGCCUCCUAAACGAAUACUGACACUGAGGUGCGAAAAGCGUGGGGAGCAAAACAGGGAUUAGAUACC
rnacentral:rRNA from 1 species